ensembl:lncRNA
GAGAGCAAAACCAAGCCGAAUUAACUGUGCCUUUGUGUCCCAGCCGUUGCCUGUGGAGGAAGAGAAAGAGAGUGAGCACCCAGAGAACGAACUGUGUGAACCAGUACUUACUGUGAGCUGUAAUCAGCGAAGAGGUGAGAGCAAAACCAAGCCGAAUUAACUGUGCCUUUGUGUCCCAGCCGUUGCCUGUGGAGGAAGAGAAAGAGAGUGAGCACCCAGAGAACGAACUGUGUGAACCAGUACUUACUGUGAGCUGUAAUCAGCGAAGAGCCGUUGCCUGUGGAGGAAGAGAAAGAGAGUGAGCACCCCGAGAACGAACUGUGUGAACCAGUACUUACCGUGAGCUGUAUUCAGCGAAGAGGAGGAAGAAGGAGGGCGCUACGGAUACCUAAGACUCAGGCCGGGGCCCGAGUCCCACGCCCCGGAUCCCCGUGGCCCCCUUGCUCCCUGACCUCUUCCCGGCCAUAGCCCAUCUGGAGGGCCGAGUCAGAGUUUAGUUUUAAUUGCCCUUUCCCUAUUCCCCAAGCUAUUUUUAAAUAUUUAAAUAAAGAUUGUUUUAUCACUUACUUGUUCUCGUGU